GGGGGGCUGGCGCAACGGUAGCGCGUUCGACUCCAGUUACUGAGUAAUCGAAAGGUUAUCCGUUCAAAUCGGGUGCUCCUCA